AACAUUCCAACUGUUAAGUUUGGACUCCCUUAAAAUCAGAUUGACGUGUCUAUAUAUUGAAAGAGUGUGUUAAAGUAGUCGUGCAGUAUUGAAGUAUUAUAUUUAGACCAAAUGUAGCAUGAUCCUUUGCUUCUCAAAAAUAAGCCCUUCAGUUCUAACUCAAGAGAGCAUAAGGUUAGCCUGGCGAAAGGGUAGGCUGGGUUAAGUCCCAUGAUUGUAAGCACAAAUUUAAUUAAUAAAACAGAACUGUUAUAUAU
rnacentral:lncRNA from 1 species